AUAGUAGAUUUAAUUCCAUAAAGGUACAUUUACGCACGAAUAGUACCUUUAUCUGAUAAUUGUAACCGUUUGAAUUUUGAUAAAGCACAGAAUCGGUUGAAUACGUAGACUAGAGAACUAAGUCAAUCCAACAUGUGGAAAGCAGGAGUUUGUUUGUUUCUAACUAUAUUAGUUUCAGUAAAUGGUUCUAAUAAUAACAAGGAUACCUGUUUGGAGAAGUCGGUGCAGUGCUUUAUAGACCCAUGCCUUCUAAGUGAAUGCCCAAAUUUCCCUACAGCAGUUUGCAGGGCUAAUUAUUGUGGAGGUUGUAACUCCGAAUUUUUUCAGGCAGGACAAAAAGUAGAUUGCCAAGCAACACUACCAAUCGUCUAGGAAGGCAGAACACUGAGGAUAUAUAUAUAUAUAUAUAUAUAGCUUCUAGUGGCAAUGAAACAUGACAGUCUUUUUAUAGCUAGUAUAUAGUAUCCAGUAUCCAAUAGUUAAUAAAAAUAUCAAUGUAUUUUG